UUUUUUUCAAUAUCUUUUUGUUUUUCUGUUUUAAUUCUCUUUCUCAUCUCUUUCGUUUUCUCUUCUCUCUUCCUUCUACGGCAGAUCUCUAUCUUCUCUUCUUGUAUCGUACUCUUUGUUUUUCUCUUUUCCUUAUUUUUUUUUCCCGAAAAUCUCAUCUCUUCUCUUUCUCUUCGAUCUGUUCAAUCUUCUCUUGGAUCUAUGAACCGCCUCCGAUAAAAUACAUACCAAGAUCUAUCGCGGCAUAAGUUUGCAUUACCAGGUUAAAGUGUCAGAGGUGAAUCACGGUAUGGCUCCACCAAGUCACCUCCUAGAUUCUGAGAUACCCCAAAAGCCUAAAUCAGAAACAGGCUUGAGAGGCGAUGGAGAAACUCCGGUAUCGAGCAGACGAGGCGACAGAGAAACUAUGAUGUCUGUAGCAGACGGCACGAUAGAAGUCAACUUCGGUGACUAGGUGAUGCGACGACAACACUCUGAAGGCGGAUGCUCUGGAGGCUGGAGGCUAGAGACGGUGGAUUAGGGUUGCAGGCGGAGGCUUAGUUUAUUUUUAGGUUAAUUAUGUUUUGGCUAAUUAUGUUUUGUUUUAGUGUUUUAAUCUGUUUUUUUGUUUAAUGUGUUCUUUAAUUAUUUGUAUACUGAUUUUAAUUAAUAGAUAAAAUUAAUUUU